rnacentral:misc_RNA from 1 species
AUUCAGGAUGGCUGGCGAAAAUAGGAAAGACAAGAAAACUCUGAUUAUAAUUCUGGUCUUAGCUGUUUUAGGAAGCAUCAUAGCUUUGGUUGUGAAUUCCCUCAAAAGAAUAGAUACAUGGGAAGGAAUAACUAGCUGUGAUACUAGCGACAGUCAUUCGAAAUGGUUUCCAAAAUCGUCUUUGUCCUUGCAGUGUUUCUUGUGAUGUCUACUGUGAUUCCCGAAUUCGAAGCUUACGGCCGUUGCAGAAAAUUGGGUGAACCUUGUGAGAAACGUGGUUGUUGUUUCUGCUGUCCAGGAUUGGAGUGCAGAGUGACUAACGGUGGCCAAGGGUUUGAUUCGAGAUGUUUCAGGAAGAGUUGAAUGGAUGCUAUGAUAAACAUAAAGUGAAUAAAUGCUUCAUUUAACACUGUAAUUUAAAAAGACAAAUAAACUAUCAUAAUAAAUUCCA